AUUGAACGCUGGCGGCAGGCCUAACACAUGCAAGUCGAACGGUAACAGGAAGCAGCUUGCUGCUUUGCUGACGAGUGGCGGACGGGUGAGUAAUGUCUGGGAAACUGCCUGAUGGAGGGGGAUAACUACUGGAAACGGUAGCUAAUACCGCAUAACGUCGCAAGACCAAAGAGGGGGACCUUAGGGCCUCUUGCCAUCGGAUGUGCCCAGAUGGGAUUAGCUAGUAGGUGGGGUAACGGCUCACCUAGGCGACGAUCCCUAGCUGGUCUGAGAGGAUGACCAGCCACACUGGAACUGAGACACGGUCCAGACUCCUACGGGAGGCAGCAGUGGGGAAUAUUGCACAAUGGGCGAAAGCCUGAUGCAGCCAUGCCGCGGGUAUGAAGAAGGCCUUCGGGUUGUAAAGUACUUUCAGCGGGGAGGAAGGGAGUAAAGUUAAUACCUUUGCUCAUUGACGUUACCCGCAGAAGAAGCACCGGCUAACUCCGUG
rnacentral:rRNA from 1 species